UGGCCCGGAAGUCCCGCCUCCUCCGUACGCUCGCGAUCUGACGCCACUAUGAAGGGACACAAAGGGAUCUGUGACUCUGCAGGGGUAUUCGGGCCUCUAGGCCGCCGCGGGAUGGGGUGGUCUGAGCUAGUCGGAAGGAGGAUAGUUACUGACCUCUCCUUUAUCUCUCCUUCCCACGGUAUUAGGCUCCUUGGUGUAUCACACUGUUUCCGAAGUGUUGAUUCUCUUUUCAAUUGAUUACACAGAUGACAAUUCCUGACGUUUAAAACAUUGCCAGACACCUUUAAUUUUUUUGUUUGUUUUAACUUAGAACACAAACUUAAGCCAGAUUGCCCAGGAUUGAACCUUGGUCUCUCACUUCCUAGCCGAGCGGCCUUGGCUAGUUAACCACCUUCCUGAGCCUGAGUCUUCUCAUCUGUGAACUGGGAGUAGUAAGUGUCUACCUCACAGAGCUGUGAUUGAAAGGAUAAACAGAACGUGGCACAUGAGCUAUUUCCGUUUAGGGAAAUGAGUGUGUGAUAGUAAAGUGUGUCUUGGGUUAUGUCCUAGGAGUCAGAAGCUAAGUGACUCCUUGCCACCGAAGUGUCUGGCAAGGAUCUACGCUUUCACGCCAGGAUGAGUGCCAUGUUAUCCCCUACAUUUCUCUUCACUAUUUAAAUGAUCAUCUCUUUUUUACUUUUCCUCGUCGUCAGCACCAAAUUCUUGAGAUCGUGGUUUCAUUGUGAAAUACUUUUGCAGUAUUUGACGUUUUUCUAAAGACUGCACUGGAAGUAGCCUGAGUGUAAAUUUUAGAUUCCACAUCACUCCUUUUUGUGCUUGUACAUUUGUCUUAACUGAAAAUAACCCAAGGAUAAGGAAACAUAGCUUCCUGAAAUUACUCGGAAGUAAUUUCCGGGAUGGAGGAUGAAGGGUGAGGGCUAGGAGGUGGUGAUUCUCUCCUCAAAGGAAGGUAGCAAAGGCCAAAGUCUUAUUUGAGUUAUUACGAUUAUUAUUCACCACAUUUGCCGUCUUAUUUCAAACUUACAGCGGCGGAAGUGGACUAAAACAUAAUGUUGCCUCAAGUUUAAUUGGAAGUCGUGUGCCUUGCAAAGAAUGGACACUCAGUAGAUGCUUAUUGAUGAACCUGCUGGUUGAGCUUUUGUCAGAAAAACUAGUUUCACUCUUGUCACCCAGGCUGGAGUGCAAUGGUACGAUCUUCGCUCACUACAACCUUCACCUCCCAAGUCCAGGCAAUUCUCCUGCCUCCCAGGUAGCUGGGAUUACAAGCACCAGCCACCACACCCGGCUAAUUUUUGUAUUUUUAGUAGAGAUGGGGUUUCACCACGUGGGCCAGGCUGGUCUCGAACUCCUAACCUCAGGUGAUCUGCCCACCUCCCAAAGUGCUGGGAUUAGAGGCGUGAGCCACCGCACCCAGCCACCUAAAAAUAAUUUUAAUGGCCUGAUUUUCUGGAAUGUAAAGUAAAAAGAGAUCUUUCACAGCCUGUAUGUUAAUAUCAAAUGGAAACAUGGAGAAUUCAAUGUUUGAUUUAUUUUGGGAAUUUGCACCAAACAUCCCUUUUGGUUUCUUCAAAAUAACAAAAACUAUAAGGAAAGUGAGAAAUAACAAGGUGAAUAGAAUAAAAUAAUAUAAAAACGUUACAAGUAAUGUCAAUACAUUUAAUGAAAAAAUAAAGGUUGAUUAGUGUAACAUGAGUUUGCUCUAUUAAUUGAGAAAAUUCAUUUCUGUCAUAGAGCACAGAAUGAGGUGGAUUAAUCCCAUAGGAUGUGUUAAGCACAGAUAAUGAGUAAGCGAGUAGCUUGUAAGACAAAGGUAGAAUUCAUAAUAUACUAAAUAUAGACACAAAAGAACCUAACAAUCUGAAAGAUGUGUUAAAACUAGACAGACCAAAUGAAAUGUAUGAUGAAAGAAAGGAACGUGUUAUUUAUAGAUGGAUAGGGAUGGAAAGAACUUAUCACCCUUAUACCAGCCACUUACGGUCCUGCUGUGGGACCACAUGUACUCUACCUAAGAAAUGCUUAUAAUACCCAUAGCUGUUUGCAGGCUGAUUGACAAGUUAUGGCUGUGGUCAGGCGUACUUGUCACUGUCUGUCUUUAAUAGAGGAAGUGUGUAUCAUUGGUCCCAAGCACCUUCUGUUGACCUCACUCAAACUUCAAUCUGUUCUAACCAUCGGUGAAGAAGGCUGAUGCCACAGAUGAACAGAGACACAGGAUAUAUGAAUACUGCCUAACUCAGGAUUCGCCUGGUGUGGUCUUUCCCACUUGAACCCUGACCUAAGUGUGGAAAGUUACCCCAUCUCUUUACUCUCGCUUCAGGUUAUGUGCUUUAAAGUGAUUUAAUAAACUAACAUCUUCAUUUAAUAUUUGAGCCUGGUUUGUGACUUCCAGGAUAGCUUGCCUUGUAGUAUACUUGGAAGUCACCGUUGCAUCAAGGUAAUAUCUCAUGGCAACUGCAAAACACUUAGAAAAUUAAGAACAUAGCACUGUGUAGCGUAAAGGAAAGUAAUCUAAAGAGGAGAAAGAAAGGUAGUCACAAAUUGUGUCAUUAAUAGACUGAAAGACCAAAAAAAGUAAAGGACAAACCAAAAGACAAAAUGUGGAAAAGAUUUUGUUUUCUAAAUUGAUUUAAAGAAAAAAAAAAUGAGACAAGAAAGAAAGGCAUGGUUUGGGGCAAUGUAUAACUGUCAUCUAUACCAAUUCUAUUUUAUUUCUGAGACCAAAAUAACAGUUUCAGAGGUAAAUACAACAAAGUCCAACAAGUGGACUAAUCCCUGAAUUUCUUCUUCCUCCUCCUCCUCCUUCUUCUUCCUCCUCCUCUUUCUUUCUUUUCCUUUUUCCUUCCUUCCUUCCCUCCCUCCUCUCUUUUUCUUUCUUUCCUUUCUUUUUUCUUCUCUCUCUCUUUCUCUUUCUUUUCUCUGCCUCUGUGUUUUUCUUUGUUUCUUUCCUUUUCUUUCUUUUUCUUCUUUUUU